rnacentral:lncRNA from 1 species
UUUCACCAUGUUGACCUGGCUGAUUUUGAAUUUCUGACCUCAUGUGAUUCUCUCACCUCAGUCUCCCAAAGUGCUGGGAUUACAGGCAUGAACCACUGCUCCUGGCCAUUCUUCAUAUUUCUGCUGACUCUUUUCGUUUUCCUGCAGAGAUAUUGCUGGAGCAUGACAUAUAAGAUUCAUUUCAAAAAGUGAAUCUGAGAAAAUAUAGAAGCUGUGACCUUAAUAGUUUACAUUAAAAAAAAAAAGACUACCAAAGUGUGGAUAAUUGCAAGGGGCAGAAGAGCAGUUAUAAUGGCCUUCAUCAAUGUUUGUCAACUACCCAUAGCAAAACCUGUCAAUGAAAUAAAUGUGGCAAAGCUUUUGAGUUGUGCUCAGUCUUUACUGAACAUAAGAAAAUUUUCAGCAUAGAGAAAUGCUACAAAUGUGAAGAAUGUGGCAAAGACUGUAGGUUGUUCUCAGAUAUUACUAUACAGAAGUGAAUUCAUACUGCAGAGAGAUGCUACAGACAUCAACAAUGUGGCAAAGCCUGAAAAUAUCUCAAAUGUUACUGAAUAUAAGAGAGCUCAUGCUGGGAUAUCUAACAAAUGCAAUGAAUGUGGCAAAACAUUUACCUGCUCCUCAACCUUUAUUAAACAAAGAGAAAUCAUACUGGAGACAAACCCUACAUAUGCGAAGAAUGUGGCAAAGCCUUUAAGUGCUUCUCUGACCUUACUAAUCAAAAGAGAAAUUAUACUGGAGGGAAAUCUUGCAAAUGUGAGGAAUGUAGCCUAUAGGUUGUUCUCAGAACUUGCUAAAUAUAAGAUAAUUCACACCGGGGAGAAACUCUACAAACGUGAAGAAUGUGAUGAAGACUAUAGUUGCUUCUCAGACCUUACUAAACAUGAUAAUUCAUAGUGGAGAGAAACCUUACAAAUGUAUUGAAUAUAAUAAAAGCUUUUAUGUGGUUCUCAGCCCUUAGUAAACACAAGUGUACAUCUGUGAAGAACAUAACCAUACAUCUGUGAAGAAUGUGGAACUGCCUUUACCUGCUUCUUCACCCUUAUUAACCACAAGAGAAUUAAUAUGGAAAAGAGACCUUCUGAAUGUGGAGAAUGUGGCAAAACCUUUAAGUGCUUCUCAGACAUUACUAAUCAUUAGAUAAUUCACACUGGAGAAAAACCCUACAAAUGUGAAAAAUGUGGCACAGCAUUGAGUUUUUCUCACACCUCAUUAGAGAAAAGAGAAUUCAUACUAGAGAGUAGAUUUACAAUUGUUAAAAAUGUGGAAAGUCUUUAACAAGUUCUCAUACUGUGUUCAACAUCAGAGUCUUCAUACCGAACAAAUGCAGUAUAAAGGUAAUGACUGU